rnacentral:rRNA from 1 species
GACGAACCGAGCGAACGUUGUUCGGAAUCACUGGGCUUAAAGGGCGCGUAGGCGGGUGCUCAAGUCUGUGGUGAAAUCCUCCGGCUCAACCGGAGAACUGCCAUGGAUACUGGGUGUCUCGAGGGUGGUAGGGGUAUGCGGAACUAUCGGUGGAGCGGUGAAAUGCGUUGAUAUCGAUAGGAACUCCGGUGGCGAAGGCGGGCAUACUGGACCACAUCUGACGCUGAGGCGCGAAAGCCAGGGGAGCAAACGGG